rnacentral:rRNA from 1 species
GACGUAGGAUGCAAGCGUUGUCCGGAAUUAUUGGGCGUAAAGAGUUCGUAGGCGGUUAUCUAAGUCUGGUGUUAAAGCCCGAAGCUCAACUUCGGCAUGGCAUUGGAAACUGGGUAGCUAGAGUGUGGUAGAGGUAUCGGGAAUUCCUGGUGUAGCGGUGAAAUGCGUAGAUAUCAGGAGGAACACCGGCGGCGAAAGCGCGAUACUGGGCCAUAACUGACGCUGAGGAACGAAAGCCAGGGGAGCGAAAGGG